rnacentral:rRNA from 1 species
CAGUAGCCGCGGGAAUACGGAGGGUGCAAGCGUUGUCCGGAUUUAUUGGGUUUAAAGGGUGCGUAGGCGGCUAUUUAAGUCAGCGGUGAAAGACUCCGGCUCAACCGGAGCAGUGCCAUUGAUACUGGAUAGCUUGAGUGUUGGAGGGGUACAUGGAAUUGAUGGUGUAGCGGUGAAAUGCAUAGAUACCAUCAGGAACACCGAUAGCGAAGGCAUUGUACUGGCCAACAACUGACGCUGAGGCACGAAAGCAUGGGGAGCGAACAGGAUUAGAUACCCGGGUAGUCCCUGUCUCUUAUAC